rnacentral:rRNA from 1 species
UACGUAGGGGGCAAGCGUUGUUCGGAUUCAUUGGGCGUAAAGGGUGUGUAGGUGGCGCCGUUAGUCGGGUGUGAAAUUUCGGAGCUUAACUCCGAAACUGCAUUCGAUACUGCGGUGCUUGAGGACUGGAGAGGAGACUGGAAUUCAUGGUGUAGCAGUGAAAUGCGUAGAGAUCAUGAGGAAGACCAGUGGCGAAGGCGGGUCUCUGGACAGUUCCUGACACUGAGACACGAAGGCCAGGGGAGCAAACGGG